rnacentral:rRNA from 1 species
GAUGAACGCUGGCGGCGUGCCUAAUACAUGCAAGUCGAGCGAACAGAUAAGGAGCUUGCUCCUUUGACGUUAGCGGCGGACGGGUGAGUAACACGUGGGUAACCUACCUAUAAGACUGGAAUAACUCCGGGAAACCGGGGCUAAUGCCGGAUAACAUUUAGAACCGCAUGGUUCUAAAGUGAAAGAUGGUUUUGCUAUCACUUAUAGAUGGACCCGCGCCGUAUUAGCUAGUUGGUAGGGUAACGGCUUACCAAGGCAACGAUACGUAGCCGACCUGAGAGGGUGAUCGGCCACACUGGAACUGAGACACGGUCCAGACUCCUACGGGAGGCAGCAGUAGGGAAUCUUCCGCAAUGGGCGAAAGCCUGACGGAGCAACGCCGCGUGAGUGAUGAAGGUCUUCGGAUCGUAAAACUCUGUUAUUAGGGAAGAACAAAUGUGUAAGUAACUGUGCACGUCUUGACGGUACCUAGUCAGAAAGCCACGGCUAACUACGUG